AAAGAAAUAAUCGAAACUUUUCACUUCCUUUAUUGGAUCCCUUGGCUGAGAGGAAUUCGACCGAGGUUAAAGACUUCGCUGGUUCAACAGCACUUUCAUUCCGCUCUCCUAUAAAGCUAUCUCCAUCCGCUCCCUCAGUUUCAUCUUUAUCUGCAUCUCCUUUAUCAUCACGUGGCCAGCUGCCUCCUGCUAGCUUUACUCCAUGUUUGCCUCACCAUUCUUCAGCGCACCAACUUGGACAGCAAGUUUCUGAUGGCCGUGUACCAGGGCUGAAGUCACCUACAUUUUCAAUUUCCGAAGAAUCAUCUUCCUUUGUGCUCCUCCCUGGUUGGAGUAAUGAUUCAACUAGGGGCUCUCAUGGUGGAUCAUCAGAUGGUUGGUCAGCUCCUGGCUUUGCUGACCUGGCAAAUCCUCGUCGAGAUAGGUGGUCAUUUGAUAGUG
rnacentral:misc_RNA from 1 species